rnacentral:rRNA from 1 species
UCGCUCUUCAACGAGGAAUCCCUAGUAAGCGUGAGUCAUCAGCUCAUGCUGAUUACGUCCCUGCCCUUUGUACACACCGCCCGUCGCUACUACCGAUUGAAUGGCUUAGUGAGACCCUCGGAUUGACUUUCAUCGGCUGUAAAAGGCCUUUGAUUGUUGAAAAGUUGGUCAAACUUGGUCAUUUAGAGGAAGUAAAAGUCGUAACAAGGUUUCCGUAGGUGAACCUGCGGAAGGAUCAUUAUCAAUUCUAGCAAGCAACCCUUUAGGGUUCUUGCGCACGUAUUUAAAACCCCACACUUUAUGAAAUUUUUUAUAUAUAUUUUACUUAAAUAAGUAAUAAAAGAUCACUUUCAACAACGGAUCUCUUGGCUCUCGCAUCGAUGAAGAACGUAGCGAAGUGCGAUAAGUAGUGUGAAUUGCAGAAUUCCGUGGAUCAUCGAAUUUUUGAACGCAAAUUGCACUUUCUGGUAUUCCGGAAAGUAUGCCUGUUUGAGGGUCAGUAAAAUAAAAAAUCGAUUUGUUACCUUAUGGUGACAUAUCGGAAUUGAGCUACCUUAAAUUUUUUUUAGGUUUAAGAAGCUUAAAAUUGACCACUUUUUGGUAUGAUUUAAGCGUUGCUAAAAUUACGUUUAAUGAGUAUCGAUGUUUAUUAGGUAUGACCAUGGUCAUGGUUUCGUGCCCAUAAUUUUUUCAUGAAAUGACCUCAAAUCAGGUAGGAUUACCCGCUGAACUUAAGCAUAUCAAUAAGCGGAGGAAAAGAAAAUAACAAUGAUUCCCCUAGUAACGGCGAGCGAAGAGGGAAUAGCUCAAAUUUUAAAUCUGUUGGGUUUUACCUAACCGAGUUGUAAUUUGAAGAAACGUUUUCUGUGUCUUGAUUUAGCCUAAAUCCUUUGGGAUAAGGUAUCAAGGAGGGUGAGAAUCCCGUCUGGUUAAAUCAAAAUGCUCUACGAUACGUUUUCUAAGAGUCGAGUUGUUUGGGAAUGCAGCUCUAAAUGGGUGGUAAAUUUCACCUAAUGCUAAAUAUAAGCGAGAGACCGAUAGCGAACAAGUACCGUGAGGGAAAGAUGAAAAGAACUUUGAAAAGAGAGUUAAAUAGUAUGUGAAAUUGUUGAAAGGGAAACGAUUGAAGUCAGUCAUGUCGGCGAGAAUCAACUUGGAAUAACUUCAAAGUGCAUUUCUUUGCUUGGCAGGUUAGCGUCGAUUUUGAACGUCAUAAAAUGAUUGGGGGAAGGUAGCUCUUUCGAGAGUGUUAUAGCUCUUGGUUAAUGUGAUGUUUGGGAUCGAGGUUUGCAACGGAUACCUUUUAGGCUAGCCGCCUGGCCUCUGAUUCGAUGUCGGAUUAUAGACAGCAUGUUGACUAUGAUCUGAUUAUUGGUCAAAAGGUUAGAGCGAGCAUAAAUUCGUUAAGGACGCUGACGUAAUGGCUUUAAACGACCCGUCUUGAAACACGGACCAAGGAGUCUAACAUGUGUGCGAGUGUU